UACGUAGGGUGCGAGCGUUGCCCGGAUUUAUUGGGCGUAAAGGGCGCGUAGGCGGCUUGGCACGUCCGUUGUGAAAUCGCCCGGCUCAACUGGGCGGGGUCAGCGGAUACGGCCGAGCUUGAGCAAGCUAGGGGGCAAUGGAAUUCCCGGUGUAGUGGUGGAAUGCGUAGAUAUCGGAAGGAACACCAGUGGCGAAAGCGGCUUCCUGGUCCAGCACCGACGUUCAGGCACGAAAGCGUGGGGAGCAAACAGG
rnacentral:rRNA from 1 species